AGUGAACGCUGGCGGUAGGCCUAACACAUGCAAGUCGAACGGCAGCACAGUAAGAGCUUGCUCUUACGGGUGGCGAGUGGCGGACGGGUGAGGAAUACAUCGGAAUCUACUUUUUCGUGGGGGAUAACGUAGGGAAACUUACGCUAAUACCGCAUACGACCUACGGGUGAAAGCAGGGGAUCUUCGGACCUUGCGCGAUUGAAUGAGCCGAUGUCGGAUUAGCUAGUUGGCGGGGUAAAGGCCCACCAAGGCGACGAUCCGUAGCUGGUCUGAGAGGAUGGACAGGCACACUGGAACUGAGACACGGUGCAGACUCCUACGGGAAGCAGCAGUGGGGAAUAUUGGACAAUGGGCGCAAGCCUGAUCCAGCCAUACCGCGUGAGUGAAGAAGGCCUUCGGGUUGUAGAGCCCUGUUGUUGGGAAAGAAAAGCAGCAGGUUAAUACCCCGCGGUUCUGACGGUACCCAAAGAAUAAGCACCGGCUAACUUCGUG
rnacentral:rRNA from 1 species